rnacentral:rRNA from 2 species
AAAAUGCAGUCGACGGCAGCACGGGGGCAACCCUGGUGGCGAGUGGCGAACGGGUGAGUAAUACAUCGGAACGUGUCCUGUAGUGGGGGAUAGCCCGGCGAAAGCCGGAUUAAUACCGCAUACGCUCUACGGAGGAAAGGGGGGGAUCUUAGGACCUCUCGCUACAGGGGCGGCCGAUGGCAGAUUAGCUAGUUGGUGGGGUAAAGGCCUACCAAGGCGACGAUCUGUAGCUGGUCUGAGAGGACGACCAGCCACACUGGGACUGAGACACGGCCCAGACUCCUACGGGAGGCAGCAGUGGGGAAUUUUGGACAAUGGGGGCAACCCUGAUCCAGCAAUGCCGCGUGUGUGAAGAAGGCCUUCGGGUUGUAAAGCACUUUUGUCCGGAAAGAAAACUUCUGCCCUAAUACGGCGGGAGGAUGACGGUACCGGAAGAAUAAGCACCGGCUA